rnacentral:rRNA from 1 species
UGCGUAGGCGGAUUAAUAAGUCAGUGGUGAAAUCUUUCGGCUCAACCGAGAAACUGCCAUUGAUACUGUUAAUCUUGAGUUCGGUUGAGGUAGGCGGAAUGUGUAACGUAGCGGUGAAAUGCUUAGAUAUUACACAGAACACCAAUUGCGUAGGCAGCUUACUAGACCGACACUGACGCUGAGGCACGAAAGCGUGGGGAGCGAACAGGAUUAGAUACCCUGGUAGUC